rnacentral:rRNA from 1 species
AAUCAACGCUGGCGGCGUGCCUAACACAUGCCAGUCGAACGCGAAAGCCCCGCAAGGGGUAAGUAGAGUGGCAAACGGGUGAGUAACACGUGGGUGACCUGCCUUCGAGUGGGGGAUAACGUCCCGAAAGGGACGCUAAUACCGCAUGACAUCCUGCUUUUGAAAAAGCGGAGAUCAAAGCUGGGGAUCGCAAGACCUAGCGCUUGAAGAGGGGCCCGCGCCUGAUUAGCUAGUUGGUGAGGUAACGGCUCACCAAGGCGACGAUCAGUAUCCGGCCUGAGAGGGCGGACGGACACACUGGGACUGAGACACGGCCCAGACGCCUACGGGAGGCAGCAGUGGGGAAUUGUUCGCAAUGGGCGCAAGCCUGACGACGCAACGCCGCGUGGAGGACGAAGAUCUUCGGGUCGUAAACUCCUGUCGAGCGGGACGAACGCUUCGCGGAUGAAUAAUCCGCGGAAUUGACGGUACCGCUAAAGGAAGCCCCGGCUAACUCCGUG